rnacentral:lncRNA from 1 species
AUGUGUUCUCAGAAGCACAGUCUGAAAUUACAGAGGAACUACCUGUUCUUCAAAACAAGAUUAUUUGAAAUAAAUUCCAGGAAAAUAUGUCAGUUAAAGGAACCGAACCUACAGUCUGAAAAGUACACAGAACUUGUGAGAACAGAAUUCUCUGGGAAAGUGGACAAAUUACUACCACACAAAGAUCAUAAUGCUCCUUGCUUUUCAUGUCACUACACACGAUAAUUAACUCAAUGAGUAUAUGUUUGAUGUUUACCUUCCCCAUUAAACUGUGAACUUCAUGGUGGCAAGGGUCAUGUACACGUAUUCUCUGCUGUAUCUUUAGUGUCUAGGAUAAGAUUCCAUACAAAAUACAUCCUUAAAAGAUAUUCACUGAGGGCCAGGGAUUUAGCUCAGUGGUGCCACCGCCUACCUCGCAAGCACAAGGUCCCGAGUUUGAUCCCUGGUACCAAAAAAAAAAAAAAAAAAAAAGAUAUUCAUUGAACGAAUCAACAAAUGAGUGGCUGUCUUUAUCUGGAGUUUGGGAUUUCUAU